GAGCUCCCGGUGGCAGCCGGCCUAUAGCCGGGCCCACAGCGGGUCUGAUCGCCAUGACGGUGAGGACAGGGACCCCCAUCCGUCCAGUACCAGUGCCAGGAGCGUGCUGUUCAGGCCUUUUGACAAUGCAGGGGAGAAAGAACCACCUUCUCCACGUUACAGGCGGAUAAACAGAAGCUUUAAAAGGGUAAGUGACUCACGCAAGCUCCCCCCGGGGGUGAGGAGAACAGCCCCGGUCCCCAAAAGACGGAAGGAGAGAGGGAGAGAGGGAGGCAGGACAAUGACGGUAACUUGCCACAUGGUUAUGUCUCCACCUGAAACAGGGAAUGUUUCUUCUGAACUAGAAACCGUUUUCUCUGUGAAUUCCUAGGGAUUUGGAAACGCACUGGCUGAUACAGGGGCCACCAGCCACGUGUGGCCUUUGAAAUGUGACUGGUCUGAGGGCACCAGGGUGACUCAGUCAGUCAAGCAUCCGACUCUUGAUUGCACCUCAGGUCAUGAGCUCACGGUUCACGAAUUCAAGCCCCACAUCGGGCUCUGUGCUGACAGCACGGAGCCUGCUUGGGAUUCUCUGUCUCCCUCUGCCCCUCCCGCACCCCUAAAUAAUUAAAAAUAAAAACAUUUUGAAACGUGGCUGGUCUGAAAUGAGAUGUGCCGUAAAUGUAAAAGACACGUCGGACCUCAAAGGCUAAGAACAAAAAACAAGAAUGUAAGAUAACUUCGUGAUAAUGUAUAUUAACCACACGUUAAAGUGCUACUAUAGCGAGUUAAAUCAAAUCUGUCAUUAAAUUUCCUCUUACCAGUUUCUGUUUUCC
rnacentral:lncRNA from 1 species